GUAGGGUUAUAUACAGGCGCUGUAGGGUUAUAUACAGGCGCUGUAGGGUUAUAUACUGGUAGGAUGCUGUUAUGGACUGUUUGAUGCCUUGUUUAUAGACAGACCGGCGAUCCUGGUCCAGGUUCCGUUCACAGUGUUUUGUGAAAACGUUCUUUUGUAGAUUACCUUCAGUAUUUGAAUCUGUCAAAAUGAUGGACGGCCUAUAGAAUUUCUU